ACUUGUUUUGGGCAUAAUAUUUUUUGAAAUGGUUUUAAACGCGUUCACAGAUUUUUAGAAGUAUUUGUAUAUAUAAAGUUUACAUAAACGGAAGAUUAGUUUCACUCUUAACUACUUUGGGAACGUACGCAAUUGGAACUACAUUCGGAACGUACGCAAUUAGUCCACCUCUGUUUCAUUAAAUCAUAGAGUGCUGGCAGUUUUUCUUACAUGUUGUCACACUCUUUGUAUUAUUUUCUACCGAAAAAAGUACGAUUGCCAGGCAUAUUAUAAAUGCUAUAGACUGUCAAAUGGGAAGUACAGAAAAAGUUGCAACGUCCUUAUCGCAAUCCGUAUAAUCAAUUUUGCAAAUCGCUUCGCUCAUUCGAAACAUUACUUUAUUGAAAUGAGAAAUCUAAAUAUAUGCGAGUUAAAUGUAUUUAAUAUUUUAUGUUUGUAUAUAUGUGAAUAAAUAAUCCCUAGCCGUUUUCAAUGAUCUUUUAACUUUUAAACCAAUCAGUAAAUAUAUUUUAAGAAAUAAAAACUUUUUAAAUGAGCCUUUUUGUCAAAUAAACUUU